UACGUAGGGUGCGAGCGUUGUCCGGAAUUAUUGGGCGUAAAGGGCUCGUAGGCGGUUUGUCGCGUCGGGAGUGAAAUCCACUGGCUUAACUGGUGGCUUGCUUUCGAUACGGGCAGACUGGAGGUAUGCAGGGGAGAACGGAAUUCCUGGGUGUAGCGGUGAAAUGCGCAGAUAUCAGGAGGAACACCGAUGGCGAAGGCAGCUCGCUGGGACGGUACUGACGCUGAGACGCGAAAGCGUGGGGAGCAAACAGG
rnacentral:rRNA from 1 species